rfam:Pristionchus pacificus strain PS312 contig6409, whole genome shotgun sequence.
GCCUCAUUGGCUCAGCGGCAGGGCGUCUGUCUAGUAAACAUAAGGUCGCUGGUUCGAUUCCAGCAUGAGGCA